CACUCCCCCAUCUCUGGGAGUUUGAACUGAGUUAGCUCAUGAUCACUGAACCAAGGUGUCCCUACAACCAUUUCUUCUAAUGAGUCCUCACUACU